rnacentral:rRNA from 2 species
UUCCUACGGGAGGCAGCAGUGGGGAAUAUUGGGCAAUGGGCGAAAGCCUGACCCAGCAACGCCGCGUGAAGGAAGAAGGUUUUCGGAUCGUAAACUUCUAUCCUAGGUGAAGAUAAUGACGGUAGCCUAGAAGGAAGCCCCGGCUAACUACGUGCCAGCAGCCGCGGUAAUACGUAGGGGGCAAGCGUUGUCCGGAAUGAUUGGGCGUAAAGGGCGCGUAGGCGGCCGCGUAAGUCCGACGUGAAAUUCCUGCUUUUAAGGUAGGAAUUGCGUUGGAAACUGCGUGGCUUGAGUGCAGGAGAGGUAAGUGGAAUUCCCGGUGUAGCGGUGAAAUGCGUAGAGAUCGGGAGGAACACCAGUGGCGAAGGCGACUUACUGGACUGUAACUGACGCUGAGGCGCGAAAGUGUGGGGAGCAAACAGGAUUAGAUACCCCAGUAGUC